GUGCUCGCUUCGGAAGCACAUAUACUAAAAUUGGGAUGAUACAGAGAAGAUUAGCAU
rnacentral:snRNA from 1 species